UAAAGGAAUAGUUCACCCAAAAAUAAAAGUUUGCUUAAAAUUUACCCUCAGGCCAACAAAGAUGCAGUUGAGUUUGUUUGUUCAUUGGAACAGAUUUGGAGAAAUUUACCACUCCAUCAGUUGC